CAGCCAUGGACAAAGCACCACCCAGCUAGAGCUGCUGCUCAGAACUGCUUGGAGAUGGACACAUCAGGCAGGGCCCUCGGGGCUAUACAGCUGCCAAAAUGGGGGGAAGUUGAGCACCUGAUCGCUUUCGCAAGCUGUAAACUCAACCACACCGAAACCAGGUGAGAAAUGUUACAUGGGGUUGGUCCAUGAGCCAAAUCCCACACACCCUGAUCCAGACCUGCACUGCCUCAAUAUGGACUCCUGCCUACACGCUGCCCUGAAAGGAACCAAAACUUCCCUGCUCUGGGCUUGCGCUUUGUGAUCUGGCCAUCCAUGAAUGGUCCAAUCCGGCCUUGUUCUGCUAGAUCCAGCCACAUGCUGCCCAAUCCAGCAGAAUGCUUCUAUAUUUCUGACCCAUGCCACCCUGAUCCAGUCCUGUGCCAACUGAUCUAGCAAUGUGCUGCACCAACCUGGACCCAUGCUGGAUCUAACCCUGCACUUCCCAAUCUGAACUCACUGACCCCUACUCCAACUAGAGCAUCACCCAAUCCAGCUCUGUGCCAGCCAGCUCUAGCAUGCACAGACAUGUUAUCCAGCCCAUGGGGGCUCCUCCCCCCAGGAAAAUUUGCCAGCACGGAUGCAUUAAUUAAUAUUGCAACUGCUC